rnacentral:rRNA from 1 species
AUCUCAGGGACAUACAUUGACAGGAAGUGCACAUUCACUGGAACUGUUUUUAUCAGAGGCAGAAUUAUUGCUGGAACACGCCACAGUGCAAAGAUGAAUAGGACUAUUAUUGUCCGCAGAAACUGCCUUCAUUUUGUGAAAAAGUAUCAUAGGUAUGAGCAGAGGCACCCCAGUAUUCCUGCUCACAUUUCUCCUUUCUUCCGGGUCAAGGAAUGAGACCAUGUCAUCAUUGGCCAGUGCUGGCCUUUGUCAAAAUCCGUGUGGUUGAACGUCCCUAAAGUCAUUCCACCUGUGUCCACAGGUGGCACUGGGAAGAAAGCAUUUACGGCAGCUUGA